rnacentral:rRNA from 1 species
AUGCUACCACUACCCGUCCACCUGUCCUUCAUGCGCGGCCACUACUGGGCGGGCAUGAAGGCCAACUGGAUCGUCCUCAUCCACCACACCGGUAGUCCAUGGCGUCUCGUGGAUAUCUACACCCAGCGAGAGAUCACCCUUCCAUCGUUGGAUACCGUAGCCAUCGAGCCUAGCAGCCCGCUGGACACUCCUGCCUACUACGCACGAGACGCGUCAGGCUUUUGGCUCGACCUCUGUUUGCAGAAUGUUGUAAUCUGCGAAGUGCCCACACCAUCAGAAGACUACAUGGAUUACAAGCUCAUUGCCUUGUUCAACAUGGGAUUAGUCUAUCUGGAAUCCGGUCGCCAUACAUGCAGACGCAAAUGCGCUGGCCUUCAUGAUUCCAGGACCUGGAAUCAUACCAGCCGAUGGUCAGAGAAGGAUUGGCCGGUGCUGCCGGCUGGCGUCAAGUUCGAUCCCAUGGAUCAGGAGCUGAUUGAGCACCUUGAGGCCAAAGUGGGUGUUGACAGCGCAAGAUUUCAGUCUCUCAUUGAUUUGUUCAUACCAACCAUCGACAGCGAGCACGGCAUAUGCUACAUCCAACCUGAGAAACUUCCAGGCAGACGGGCAGCAAAAAUGGUUCUGGUGCUGCACACCAACAAGAACUUCGACCAGCAGAGGACCAACUGGGUGAUGCACCAGUACCACCUCGGGGACCUGGAGCAAGAGAAGGAGCGGGAGCUGGUCCUCUGCAAGAUUUUCUACCAGACGAACACUAGGGCCAGGAGUAAAAAGAUUAUAAGUUAG